rnacentral:rRNA from 1 species
UACAGAGGUCCCAAGCGUUGUUCGGAUUCAUUGGGCGUAAAGGGUGCGUAGGCGGCGCGGUAAGUCGGGUGUGAAAUCUCGGGGCUUAACUCCGAAACUGCAUUCGAUACUGCCGUGCUUGAGGACUGGAGAGGAGACUGGAAUUUACGGUGUAGCGGUGAAAUGCGUAGAUAUCGUAGGGAAGACCAGUGGCGAAGGCGGGUCUCUGGACAGUUCCUGACGCUGAGGCACGAAGGCCAGGGGAGCAAACAGG